UCCCAACCGGCCACCCACGAUCCCCAAUUUCAGGCCGCAUGGCCGCUCGCCGCCGGGUGCUACUCCGCCCCGAGCACCGUCAAUGUCUCCGUUGCCUGCUCAGGUCCGCCCUCUUCAUCCCCCUCCCCUCAUCGUCCUCCAUUGCCCCGAGCUCCCGUCGCCGCGCCGCAGACCACCUGCUCCUCCCGAUGCACUGCCCACGCGCGGCCACGUCUCACCUAGCUGUCCACUCGCGCGUCUCCUACCUCGGUGGUUCAGCGAGCGGCGCCGGCAGCCAUGGCAAACUGCCAUGGGUGCGGCCAGUCCGAGCUCCAGUUUAGGCAGGUCGGUCCAAAAAGAAAAGAAAAAACCGUGACCCCGUCCUCCAAUACGCCACCUGCUCCCAUCCAUUCAGCACCGCCACCCGCUUCAGCACCUGCUCGUCGGCCGCCGCCGUGCAAAGCGACCUGCCCAGCUCUUCGUCCCGCCUGCCUACGCCGGUAGGCUUUCCACCACAGCCACGCACCACUUCGCCUCCCCCUGCCCAUUGCCUCCUACACAAUCGCCUUGAAUAACAGGAGCUGCAUCUCAUCUCUCUCCCUGUAGUGGUGGUCACGGGCUGAUGUUGCUACUCCUCUCCAUCAGGAUCUAUCUCUUUCUCAUUGUCUCUAUCUCUCUCUCAUGGAUCGGCAACUGCAUUCUUCCCAAAUAUGUGUGCCCCUCUGCUCUGGAUAUUACGCCCACAACAUGUUUGAUGUUAUGCUUAUGAGGAGUUGAACUUCAAUUUUUUCAAGUUUUUCUUUGGUGUAGGCAUUCAGGCCUAGUGUAAUUUCUUUUCAAAAGUGAACAUGUUGUACAGUCCAAUGUAUCUAGGAAAAUUAAGUUAUGGAGAGUUGUUCAUCAUGUUGCUUGCAUAUUUUUUUUGUCUAACAAACUAGAUACUUCAAUUUUGGAUAUAAACAUUGAGUACGUGCUGAAAUAUUUCGCUAAUAAUAGUUUCCAACUUGCUUUUUAGCAGAACUACAGAACUAUUUGCAGCUUUUAAUUAUGUGUACUUAAAAUGGAUUUGGUGUCCAGGACAUGUGGAGUUGACAUCAAGUUGAAUUAUGUGCUGAUGUUCUUCGAUAGAAUAAUUGUUCUUCUCCUUUAAAAAUGAUGGACCAUUGACUUAUUUUUUUUAGAUGCUCAAAUACACACACAAACGACAUCCAGUAAGUGCUUGGACACCCGGCAGAUUGAAAGUACAGAAGCAAAGAUAUCCAAUACGAGGCCACGAUGCCCGACAGAGACGCGGCCAAUAUGCUCCUAAUCUUUAUUUCUUGAUUUUGGAACCACAAGUAAGAGCAUGUUCAUGUUUACUUAUUAUUAUUUUUUUGGAGAAAUUUUGGGGAUUUAUAAGCUGAAAUUAUUGACUGUUUGAAAAAAAAUGUUUUAACCAAAACUGUUUGAACAAUGUUGCCCUGGUUCUGCAUUCAUGGAAUUGCUAAAAAAGUUGAACAAGUUCAGUCAGAGUUUUGUCCCUGUUAAUAUUCAGUUUGAAGUGCCAGUUUGUUUCCACUUGCUCAUCUUAAUGUUGAACUAUACAUGUACUUAUCUUUAAAGUUUUGUUGUCUUCAUGAACUAAUUAGAUUUUCAGCACUACUGAACUAAUUGGAUGCCAUCUUAAAUUACCUUCCCUUUGAUAUUAUUGUACAGAUUCCUGGAACACUGCCCAGUGUUUCAGCUGCGUACAUGUCUACAACAAUACUAGCAGAUCUGAAUUUGUGUUGCUAAGGUGUAGACUAACCUGACUUCGAGGGAAAAACAUGGAGAUUAGAGUGCCCUUUUUUCCCUUCCAAUUCCAUUUUCAGCAGCUAUCAGACAUGCAUAGACAAUUUACUUUUGAGUACUUACAAUAUUAUUUUGCUACUUGCAGAGUUGUUCAAGUGGUAAUUUGUUUUACAAAUUUCUACAAC
rnacentral:lncRNA from 1 species